UUCCCAAGGUCACGUGACAUGUUUAGUAUUGGCGUCAUGUAAGAAGCAUUGGUUAGAUAAGCGUUUGAUUACGUUUCCAUUCUGUACCUAUUCUGUGUGUGUGCUACUUUUGGUAUUUACUUAACUGUAGCCUGUAGUAGCGUAAUAAUAAUCAAAUUGCUUGUAUUUUUUUAAAGCAAUAAUGAUUGAAUAACAAUCUAAAUUAAAUUAAAUUAUUAAUACAUAUGACCUCUGAAUUCAUGAAAUAAUUGAUGAAGAAGGCUACCUUGGGGCUGGUGGCAGCUGCUGCUGUGACUAGCAGUUUGGCAUCGAUCUGCUGCGCCUUGGUGUAGAGCAUGACUCCGAGGAUGACAGUGCAGGUGCCCAGCCCACUCAGCACCGUCACAGGGUUGUCGAACAGCACCACCGACAGCCAAAUCAGGAAUGCUCUCUUCGCUGUAUUCGCCACACUAACACAAUUACAUCAAUAUUAAAUCUUUCUACUCUCCAGAUAGUCGUUUGCAAUACCUAUAAUAUACACUUUUUUAAUAAAUUGUAUCAAUUUCUCAAAAAUAUAAUACGAAUAUAAAUUGAA